UGCAAGUCGAGCGGAAAUCGAUGGGAGCUUGCUCCCAGGCGUCGAGCGGCGGACGGGUGAGUAACACGUGGGAAUCUGCCCAUUAGUGGGGGAUAACUCGGGGAAACUCGAGCUAAUACCGCAUAAUCCCUACGGGGGAAAGCAGGGGAUCUUCGGACCUUGCGCUGAUGGAUGAGCCCGCGUCGGAUUAGCUUGUUGGUGGGGUAAUGGCCCACCAAGGCGACGAUCCGUAACUGGUCUGAGAGGAUGGCCAGUCACACCGGGACUGAGACACGGCCCGGACUCCUACGGGAGGCAGCAGUGGGGAAUCUUGGACAAUGGGCGCAAGCCUGAUCCAGCCAUGCCGCGUGUGUGAAGAAGGCCUUCGGGUUGUAAAGCACUUUCAGUAGGGAGGAAGGCUUUGGGCUAAUACCCUGGAGUACUUGACGUUACCUACAGAAGAAGCACCGGCUAAUUUCGUGCCAGCAGCCGCGGUAAUACGAAAGGUGCGAGCGUUAAUCGGAAUUACUGGGCGUAAAGCGCGCGUAGGCGGUGUGUUAAGUCGGAUGUGAAAGCCCAGGGCUCACCCUGGGAAUUGCAUUCGAUACUGGCACGCUAGAGUGCAGUAGAGGGAGGUGAAAUUUCCGGNGUAGCGGUGAAUUGCGUAGAGAUCGGAAGGAACACCAGUUGGCGAAGGCGGGCCUCCUGGACUGACCCUGACGCCUGAGGGUGCGAAAGCGUUGGGGAACCAACAGGAAUUGGAUACCCCUGGUAGUUCCACGCCGUUAAACGAUGUUCUACUAGCCCGGUGGGGGGUCCAUU
rnacentral:rRNA from 1 species